GAGACGAAGAGAAGGGCGCGGGCAGGGUUAGAAGGCAGGCGGGCAGAUAGGAGCACAGGAAAAAACUGUGCGGAAAGAAAAAAAAACAGAAAAAAAAGAUAUAGAAGGGACGGGAGAGAGACUGACAGUGAGGUCAGAGGCACGGGAUUGGAAGGACUCAGACUGGCGAGCAGCGUUAGCCUCGGGGAGGAGAAAAACAGAAGCAGCAAACUGCCUUCUCUCUCGGUUAAAUCUUUCCAACUUAUGUUUUACUUUUGGUUUAAUUUGAUAAUAAUGUGUAACUAAAUUUAUUUUGGCUAGAGGUUAAUUCAAAGCCAUGAAUAUAUUUGUAAUAUGAAUUGAUUACCUUCAGUUAUGAUUUCUGAGUUGUGAUUUAAUUUGCUUAACUGCUUGAUUGAUAACUUAUUUUUGU
rnacentral:lncRNA from 1 species